rnacentral:rRNA from 1 species
GACGAACGCUGGCGGCGUGCUUAACACAUGCAAGUCGAACGGAAAGGCCCUGCUUUUGUUGGGUGCUCGAGUGGCGAACGGGGGAGUAACACGUGAGUAACCUGCCCUUGACUUUGGGAUAACUUCAGGAAACUGGGGCUAAUACCGGAUAGGAGCUCCUGCUGCAUGGUGGGGGUUGGAAAGUUUCGGCGGUUGGGGAUGGACUCGCGGGUUAUCAGCUUGUUGGUGGGGUAGUGGCUUACCAAGGCUUUGACGGGUAGCCGGCCUGAGAGGGUGACCGGCCACAUUGGGUCCGAGAGACGGCCCAGAUUCCUACGGGAGGCAGCAGUGGGGAAUAUUGCACAAUGGGCGGAAGCCUGAUGCAGAAACGCCGCGUGCGGGAUGACGGCCUUCGGGUGGUAAACCGCUUGCGCCUGUGACUAAGCGUGAGUGACGGUAAUGGGUACAGAAGCACCGGCUAACUACGUG